rnacentral:miRNA from 1 species
AGAAGCAGGCAGAUCUCUGUGAGUUCGAGGCCAGCCUGUUCUACCUAGUGAGUUCUAGGACAGCGGGGCUACAGGGAGACCCUGUCCCAAAAG